rnacentral:rRNA from 1 species
CCCUGACUCCUUGAGAGUCCUGAAGGAACGUUGAAGACGACGACGUUGAUAGGCCGGGUGUGUAAGCGCAGCGAUGCGUUGAGCUAACCGGUACUAAUGAACCGUGAGGCUUAACCUUA